rnacentral:pre_miRNA from 1 species
UAUAUACUCCCUCCGUCCAGAAAUACUUAUCGAAGAAAUGGAUGUAUCUAGACAAAUACUUAUUGGAGAAAUGGAUGUAUCUAGACGUAUUUUAGUUUAGAUACAUUCAUUUUUAUUAUUUUUUCUGACAAGUAUUACCGGACGGAGGGAGUACAUG